AUUGAACGCUGGCGGCAGGCCUAACACAUGCAAGUCGAGCGGAUGAAGGGAGCUUGCUCCUGGAUUCAGCGGCGGACGGGUGAGUAAUGCCUAGGAAUCUGCCUGGUAGUGGGGGAUAACGUCCGGAAACGGGCGCUAAUACCGCAUACGUCCUGAGGGAGAAAGUGGGGGAUCUUCGGACCUCACGCUAUCAGAUGAGCCUAGGUCGGAUUAGCUAGUUGGUGGGGUAAAGGCCUACCAAGGCGACGAUCCGUAACUGGUCUGAGAGGAUGAUCAGUCACACUAGAACUGAGACACGGUCCAGACUCCUACGGGAGGCAGCAGUGGGGAAUAUUGGACAAUGGGCGAAAGCCUGGUCCAGCCAUGCCGCGUGUGUGAAGAAGGUCUUCGGAUUGUAAAGCACUUUAAGUUGGGAGGAAGGGCAGUAAGUUAAUACCUUGCUGUUUUGACGUUACCAACAGAAUAAGCACCGGCUAACUUCGUG
rnacentral:rRNA from 1 species